rnacentral:rRNA from 1 species
UGCUGGAGGUAUCAGAAGUGCGAAUGCUGACAUAAGUAACGAUAAAGCGGGUGAAAAGCCCGCUCGCCGGAAGACCAAGGGUUCCUGUCCAACGUUAAUCGGGGCAGGGUGAGUCGACCCCUAAGGCGAGGCCGAAAGGCGUAGUCGAUGGGAAACGGGUUAAUAUUCCCGUACUUGGUGUUACUGCGAAGGGGGGACGGAGAAGGCUAUGUUGGCCGGGCGACGGUUGUCCCGGUUUAAGCGUGUAGGUGUGUGUUCCAGGUAAAUCCGGUUCACUUUAACACUGAGGCGUGACGACGAGGCACUACGGUGCUGAAGCAACAAAUGCCCUGCUUCCAGGAAAAGCCUCUAAGCAUCAGGUAACACG